GAGAAUAUGAAGAGAAGGACUUACCUCGAUCACACAGAAAGCUAGUGGCCGAGCCAAACCCACAGGCAGUCGGAAGUCGAGGACCUUGGUUUUGUGCCAGACCUUCCCCGGGUUUCUUCUCACCAAAGUCUGAAGGUCUCUGAUUGAGUGGACGAAAACCCGCUGCCCUUCUUUACGAAACUAAGAAUGCUAAGACCCAGGAGUUGGAGAAGCUGAAGGAGGAUCCAUUGACAGCUGGAGGAUCUAAAGAAUGGGGCUGCCCCACACCAACAAGGACUGGAAAUGCAGGUGAAGCCUCGGUCGAGUACACAGGAUGUGCUGCAAAACAUUCUUGAGGAAGACGUGUCAAGUUCUACAGUUUUAUGUAUCCCAGUUCGAGUAUCCUAGUUCGAGAAGCAGCUGUGCAAUGAAGCAGAAUUUUACAUCAACAAGAAACUUCUGUAAAUAAUGGAAGGUGAUUUGUCAAGGGAAAUGCAUUGCUUACCUUCCCUGUUUGCCACUGUGAAUGAGAUGGAAACUUCGGAGGCAUCGUGACACAACUAUGGAAGAGAAUGAAACCCACACAAGGGAAAACAGAGCUCAAAAAUG